GUCAGUGCGGUGUAUUUGGUUUGAGUGUUGGACUACGACUCUAAAGACCAAGGUUCGAAUCCUGGCUCAGCCG